rnacentral:rRNA from 1 species
UCUCCAAGUAACGGCGAGUGAAAGGAGAUGAGCUCAGCGCUGAACCGCUUGGUGACUCACUACUGCGGACUGUAGCGUAUAGGUGUGGCUAUUCAACAUUGCUGUACAUCCAAAGUACUCUUGACCGAGGCUACCAUAGAUGAUGCAAGUUCAGUACGGAUGACAGUGGUGUUGAUCGGCUAUUCCUUAGAGUCGGGUUGUUUGAGAUUGCAGCCCAAAGUUGGUGGUAAACCCCAUCUAAAGCUAAAUAUGGCCACGAGACCGAUAGCAAACAAGUACCGUGAGGGAAAGUUGCAAAGUACUUUGAAGAGAGAGUUCAAGAGGGCGUGAAACCGCUAAGAUGGAAACAAAUGGAGUUGACGUAGUCUUUUGACAAUCAGUUUGACUGAUGUGAUGACCCGGGUGAUUUGUUACUGUCAAAGGGACGGUUGUCUGGGAUGUCAUGUUAGUUGGAUGCACUUGUUGGAAGUAAGCGCUGAGAUGCUUGCAAGGAUUGACAGAAGGAAAGCAAUGAUGGACCUCUUCGGAGAAAACCUGUGCCUCUGGAUGUCAAGUCUCUGUAAGUAUUCGUAGACGUGUAUAGCCUUGUGCUUGGCAGUUUAAUGCUCAUAGUCUGUGCGUAAGGAGGCGUGCCUCUUUGCGUAUAGGUUGCGUUCACUAGGCUGUCUUGCUAUGUAUGCGUUUCUCGGUGUAAAAGUCAACUACCUAUUUGACCCGUCUUGAAACACGGACCAAGGAGUUUAGCAUAUGUGCGAGUAGUUGGAUGAUAAAUCUGAAUGCGUAAUGAAAGUGAAGGUUUCUUUAUGAAGCUGAUAUCAGAUCUGCGGUAAAACGUAGAGCAUGAUAGCCCCAUCUGAAUGGCUUGCCAUUAGGUGGAGGAAGAGCAUAUACGCUAAGACCCGAAAGAUGGUGAACUAUGCUUGAGCAGGACGAAGCCAGAGGAAACUCUGGUGGAGGUCCGAAACGGUUCUGACGUGCAAAUCGAUCGUCUGACUUGGGUAUAGGGGCGAAAGACUAAUCGAACCAUCUAGUAGCUGGUUCCCUCUGAAGUUUCCCCCAGGAUAGCUGGAGUUUAUAAUCAGUUUUACUCGGUAAAGCCAAUGAUUAGAGGCAUUGGGAUCUCAAUGAUCUUAACCUAUUCUCAAACUUUCAAUGUGUAUGAAGUCUUGGUUUCUUAAUUGAACCUGGACAUGGAAUGUGAGCUCCAAGUGGGCCAUUUUUGGUAAGCAGAACUGGCGAUGUGGGAUGAACCAAACGUUGGGUUAAAGUGCCUAACUGUCCGAUCAUGAGACCCCAUGAAAUGCGUUAGUUCAUAUAGACAGCAGGACGGUGGCCAUGGAAGUCGGUACCCGCUAAGGAGUGUGUAACAACUCACCUGCCGAAUGAACUAGCCAUGAAAAUGGAUGGCGCUAGAUCGGACGACUUAUACCCAACCGUUACAUAGACUUGAGCGUAAGCUGCGCCUGGUCGUAACGAGUAAGAGGGUCGUAGUGAUGAGCGUUGAAGGCUUUGGGCGUAGGCCCAGCUGGAGCCGUCACUAGUGCAGAUCUUGGUGGUAGUAGCAAAUAUUCAAGUGAGAUCCUUGAAGACUGAAGUGGAGAAGGGUUCCACGUGAACAGCAGUUGAAUGUGGGUCAGUCGAUCCUAAGAUACUGGCUAAUGCCUUGUAUCAAUGAGAGUAGUGAAGUUAAAUUCGCUCUCGAUUGUCGAAAGGGAAUGAGGUUAACAUUCCUUAACCUAGACGUGAAGAUAGAUAGUCAAUUGACUAUCUUGCGCGGUAACGCAAACGAACUUGGUGACACUGCACAUAGCCCGAGCUAGAGUUUUCUUUUCUAGUUAAGAGGCGGACUCCAUGGAAACGGUUUAGCCGGAGAUAUGGACGUUGUCCUCGUAUAGCAUCACGGUUCCUGUGGUGUCUCGAGCGUUGUGUGCGGUCCUUGAAAAACCAAGGGAGGCAACUUGAAUUUCACGCUAGAUCGUACCGAUAUCCGCAGCAGGUCUCCAAGGUGAACAGCCUCUAGUCGAUAGAAUAAUGUAGGUAAGGGAAGUCGGCAAAUUAGAUCCGUAACUUCGGGAAAAGGAUUGGCUCUAAGGACUGGGUCGGUCGGGCUGUAACACGAAACAGUGAUGGUCCCGUCGAUGUCUGUUUUGGCUUUCGGGCUAGAACGGGCUAGUGGCGGGAACGUUCUGUGGACUGGUGCAGCUAAUGUGCCCACUCUCGGGUGGAACACUUCGGCCGACACUAAACAGUUAACUUAGAACUGGCACGGACUCGGGGAAUCUGACUGUCUAAUUAAAACAAAGGAGAUAGAUGGCCCUUGCGGGCGUUGACUAUCUCUGAUUUCUGCCCAGUGCUCUGAAUGUUAACUCGAUGAAAUUCGAGUAAGCGCGGGUAAACGGCGGGAGUAACUAUGACUCUCUUAAGGUAGCCAAAUGCCUCGUCAUCUAAUUAGUGACGCGCAUGAAUGGAUUAACGAGAUUCCCACUGUCCCUAUCUACUAUCUAGCGAAACCACAGCCAAGGGAACGGGCUUGGCAAAAACAGCGGGGAAAGAAGACCCUGUUGAGCUUGACUCUAGUCUGACUCUGUGAAGAGUCAUGGAAGGUGUAGCAUAAGUGGGAGCAGCAAUGCGUCCGUGAAAUACCACUACUUUUAUCGAUUCUUUACUUAUUUGGUAAGGCGAGGAUUAAGCCUAACGGCUUCUGAUUCUUGAGUUAAGUCUGGUUACUUGGUGACCGGGCGACUCGCGCCAAAGACAGUGUCAGGCGGGGAGUUUGACUGGGGCGGUACAUCUGUCAAACAGUAACGCAGGUGUCCUAAGGCAAGCUCAGAGAGGACAGAAACCUCUCGUAGAGCAAAAGGGCAAAAGCUCGCUUGAUCUUGAUUUUCAGCACGAAUACAGACCGCGAAAGCGUGGCCUAUCGAUCCUUUUAAAUUAGAGGGUUUCUAAUAAGAGGUGUCGGAAAAGUUACCACAGGGAUAACUGGCUUGUGGCAGCCAAGCGUCCAUAGCGACGUUGCUUUUUGAUCCUUCGAUGUC